rnacentral:snRNA from 1 species
AGCUAUGACAGAGAUCUGGCUGUGACAUCUGUUCCUUUACUGAUUGCCAGGAUUGAUUCAGAUGAUCUGGAUGGCUAGAUGGGGAUGUUUCAUUUCUCCCUUCCAAGGCUGUGUACCUUCCGUUGAAAAAGAUAAACUUCCUCUAUAGAGGACAGGCUUUUGGUAAAGGGUAAAGUAUCAGUCUGCAACUCUUGCCAGGUCCUCCAAACAAGUUCUCAAAAGGUGUUGUUUAUGUGAGUCUCUCUCAUGAAAACCACAAAGCAAGCAUAUAGUAUGCAAAUA